UUCCUCAUGGCCCAAUGGUUAAGGCGUGUGGCUACGAUAACCACAAGAUUCCAGGUUCGAGUCCUGGUGGGGAAG